rnacentral:rRNA from 1 species
GACGAACGCUGGCGGCGUGCCUAAUACAUGCAAGUCGAGCGCAGGAAGCUCACGGAACUCUUCGGAGGGAAGUGAAGGGAAUGAGCGGCGGACGGGUGAGUAACACGUAAGGAACCCGCCCCAAGGAUUGGGAUAACUCCGAGAAAUCGGAGCUAAUACCGAAUAGUUCUUCAGACCGCAUGGUCUGAUGAUGAAAGGCGCUUCGGCGUCACCUUGGGAUGGCCUUGCGGUGCAUUAGCUAGUUGGUGGGGUAAUGGCCCACCAAGGCGACGAUGCAUAGCCGACCUGAGAGGGUGAUCGGCCACACUGGGACAGAGACACGGCCCAGACUCCUACGGGAGGCAGCAGUAGGGAAUCUUCCACAAUGGACGAAAGUCUGAUGGAGCAACGCCGCGUGAGUGAUGAAGGUUUUCGGAUCGUAAAACUCUGUUGUAAGGGAAGAACAGGUAUGAGAGGUAAUGCUCAUGCUAUGACGGUACCUUGCGAGAAAGCCACGGCUAACUACGUGCCAGCCGCCGCGGUAAAAC